rnacentral:rRNA from 1 species
GAUGAACGCUGGCGGCAGGCCUAACACAUGCAAGUCGAACGAACCUUUCGGGGUUAGUGGCGGACGGGUGAGUAACACGUGGGAACGUGCCUUUAGGUUCGGAAUAACUCAGGGAAACUUGUGCUAAUACCGAAUGUGCCCUUCGGGGGAAAGAUUUAUCGCCUUUAGAGCGGCCCGCGUCUGAUUAGCUAGUUGGUUGAGGUAAUGGCUCACCAAGGCGACGAUCAGUAGCUGGUCUGAGAGGAUGAUCAGCCACAUUGGGACUGAGACACGGCCCAAACUCCUACGGGAGGCAGCAGUGGGGAAUCUUGCGCAAUGGGCGAAAGCCUGACGCAGCCAUGCCGCGUGAAUGAUGAAGGUCUUAGGAUUGUAAAAUUCUUUCACCGGGGACGAUAAUGACGGUACCCGGAGAAGAAGCCCCGGCUAACUUCGUG